rnacentral:rRNA from 1 species
AUUGAACGCUGGCGGCGUGCUUAACACAUGCAAGUCGUGCGGUAACAGGCGUAGCAAUACGUGCUGACGAGCGGCGAACGGGUGCGUAAUACAUGGGAAUCUGCCCUUUAGUGGGGAAUAACCCGGCGAAAGCCGGGCUAAUGCCGCAUAAGAUCUUCGGAUGAAAGCGGGGGAUCGUAAGACCUCGCGCUGAUGGAUGAGCCCAUGUCGGAUUAGCAGUUGGUGAGGUAACGGCUCACCAAGGCGACGAUCCGUAGCUGGUCUGAGAGGACGGCCAGCCACACUGGGACUGAGACACGGCCCAGACUCCUACGGGAGGCAGCAGUGGGGAAUAUUGGACAAUGGGCGAAAGCCUGAUCCAGCGACGCCGCGUGUGUAGAAGAAGGCCUGCGGGUUUGUAAAGCNCUUUUCGAUGGGAACGAAAUGUGCCGGGCUAAUA